rnacentral:rRNA from 1 species
UGGGGAAUAUUGGACAAUGGGCGCAAGCCUGAUCCAGCCAUGCCGCGUGGAUGAAGAAGGCCCUAGGGUUGUAAAAUCCUUUCGCUAGGGAAGAUAAUGACGGUACCUAGUAAAGAAGCCCCGGCUAAUUUCGUGCCAGCAGCCGCGGUAAUACGAAAGGGGCUAGCGUUGUUCGGAAUUACUGGGCGUAAAGCGCACGUAGGCGGCCUGCCAAGUCAGAGGUGAAAUCCCGGGGCUCAACCCCGGAACUGCCUUUGAAACUGGCAAGCUUGAGGACGCGAGAGGAUAGUGGAAUUCCGAGUGUAGAGGUGAAAUUCGUAGAUAUUCGGAAGAACACCAGUGGCGAAGGCGACUGUCUGGCGCGUUUCUGACGCUGAGGUGCGAAAGCGUGGGGAGCAAACAGGAUUAGAUACCCCCGUAGUCC